rnacentral:lncRNA from 1 species
GCCUGGGGGACAGAGCAAGACUCUGUCUCAAAAGAAAAAAAAAUGAAAUAAAUAAUAUUAGAAAAGCUCUUAGCCCAGAACCCUCAGUGCCCAGUAGAUGAUCAGCUUUUUCUGCAUCUUCAGCUAACGGUGGCAGAUGGCAACCCAGCUCCCAGUUACAUAUCUUCAAUUCUGGGGCCAACUGAGCUCUCACCAAAUUCCAGUUCCAAAUCCCCAGGGAAAGGAAUCCAACUGGCUCUUCGGAAAAGGCCCUAAGAAGCCAUCAAAGAUAUGUCAUGGAGGAAGCCAUCGAAGAGGAAAGAGGAAGCUUUGUAACAGUUUACCUGGGAGGAAUAACAAGCUGCCAUAUGAAUACUGAUGAGAAAGGAGGUGGGAGAGACAUUUGAUCAUCAAUCAAGUUAUGAUUAUGAACACUCAGUUAAGAAAGAAAUGUGAAGUCAGUGUUCCUGAACAUGAAGAACAAGACCAGGGGUUGGGUUUUGGAGUCACACGGACUUUUUUUGUUCCAGCUCAUUUGUCUUUUUACC